rnacentral:rRNA from 1 species
UACAGAGGUGGCAAGCGUUGUUCGGAAUUACUGGGCGUAAAGGGCGCGUAGGCGGUCUUGCAAGUCCCGUGUGAAAUCCCUCGGCUCAACUGAGGAACUGCACGGGAAACUGCUUGGCUUGAGUUCGGGAGAGGGAAGCGGAAUUCCGGGUGUAGCGGUGAAAUGCGCAGAUAUCAGGAGGAACACCGAUGGCGAAGGCAGGUCUCUGGGCAUUAACUGACGCUGAGGAGCGAAAGCAUGGGGAGCGAACAGG